GAUUCCAACCGGAAUCACCUGCAGCAACAAGUGAAAAUGGCUGCUGUACUUGGUCACUGACAGCUUUCAGUAGCCGCUCCUGUCUAGCCCUCGCUCACUAAGAACACUACCAGACCAUCGCCUCUUGCUCAGCAUCAAGAACAAACAUGGGCCGAGUCCCACAGCAGAACAAGCAUAGCUGGAAUUGAGUGGACACGGGCUGGUCCCAUGACAGAACCAGCACAGGCAGCGUGACCUUGUGCUCUGAGCCUGCAGGCAUGCCGCGUGAGCCCCAGAACACCGGGAGCAGUGAGCACUGGAGCAGCAAGCAGGCAGCAAGUCCUGGAUGGAGACCUGUGUGAGGGGGCAACCUUGCCAAUUACGUGAGAGCAGCUGAGUGCCGGCAUGGAGCAGAAUGCGCCUUAGAGCGGAAUGGACUGUUGGACUGAACACUGGUGCGGGUGGUCAGACCACGUGUUGAGGCCCUGCGCUGAGCUGCUACACUGUAAUGUCUUUUUAAAUUUCCUCCAUUACUGUAAUGUUAACCCUUUAAUAUUUUCCUAUUUUUAAACUUACUUGUCAACUCUAAGCAAUGUGACUGCUUUUAUUCUUCUGCUGUACCCUGGUAUUUGUACCCUGGUAGUCACCAUAAGGCGGCAGACAUUUUCACUGGACUCCUACAAUGGAGUACACAUGACAAUAAAGGAUAUUGUAUUACAACCA